rnacentral:rRNA from 2 species
CGACUCUCGGCAACGGAUAUCUCGGCUCUCGCAUCGAUGAAGAACGUAGCGAACUGCGAUACUUGGUGUGAAUUGCAGAAUCCCGUGAACCAUCGAGUCUUUGAACGCAAGUUGCGCCCGAAUCCUUUUGGACGAGGGCACGUUUGCCUGGGUGUCACAC